UGGGGGAUAUUGCACAAUGGGGGAAACCCUGAUGCAGCGACGCCGCGUGGAGGAAGAAGGUUUUCGGAUUGUAAACUCCUGUCGUUAGGGACGAUAAUGACGGUACCUAACAAGAAAGCACCGGCUAACUACGUGCCAGCAGCCGCGGUAAAACGUAGGGUGCAAGCGUUGUCCGGAAUUACUGGGUGUAAAGGGAGCGCAGGCGGGAAGACAAGUUGGAAGUGAAAACCAUGGGCUCAACCCAUGAAUUGCUUUCAAAACUGUUUUUCUUGAGUAGUGCAGAGGUAGAUGGAAUUCCCGGUGUAGCGGUGGAAUGCGUAGAUAUCGGGAGGAACACCAGUGGCGAAGGCGGUCUACUGGGCACCAACUGACGCUGAGGCUCGAAAGCAUGGGUAGCAAACAGGAUUAGAUACCCUGGUAGUCCAUGCCGUAAACGAUGAUUACUAGGUGUUGGGGGAUUGACCCCCUCAGUGCCGCAGUUAACACAAUAAGUAAUCCACCUGGGGAGUACGACCGCAAGGUUGAAACUCAAAGGAAUUGACGGGGGCCCGCACAAGCAGUGGAGUAUGUGGUUUAAUUCGAAGCAACGCGAAGAACCUUACCAGGUCUUGACAUCCGAUGCAUAGCACAGAGAUGUGUGAAAUCCUUCGGGACAUCAAGACAGGUGGUGCAUGGUUGUCGUCAGCUCGUGUCGUGAGAUGUUGGGUUAAGUCCCGCAACGAGCGCAACCCUUAUUGCCAGUUACUACGUUAAGAGGACUCUGGCGAGACUGCCGUUGACAAAACGGAGGAAGGUGGGGAUGACGUCAAAUCAUCAUGCCCUUUAUGACCUGGGCUACACACGUACUACAAUGGCGUUAAACAAAGAGAAGCAAGACCGCGAGGUGGAGCAAAACUCAAAAACAACGUCUCAGUUCAGAUUGCAGGCUGCAACUCGCCUGCAUGAAGUCGGAAUUGCUAGUAAUCGCGGAUCAGCAUGCCGCGGUGAAUACGUUCCC
rnacentral:rRNA from 1 species